rnacentral:ribozyme from 1 species
UGCCCAGCAACUCCUAUCCCUACCUCCUCGUGGUACUGGCCGAGGUACGAGUAACCUUAGGGAAGA